CGCGGCCUAUCAGCUUGUUGGUGAGGUAAUGGCUCACCAAGGCGUCGACGGGUAGCCGGCCUGAGAGGGUGACCGGCCACACUGGGACUGAGACACGGCCCAGACUCCUACGGGAGGCAGCAGUGGGGAAUAUUGCACAAUGGGCGAAAGCCUGAUGCAGCAACGCCGCGUGAGGGAUGGCGGCCUUCGGGUUGUAAACCUCUUUUAGCAGGGAAGAAGCGAGAGUGACGGUACCUGCAGAAAAAGCGCCGGCUAACUACGUGCCAGCAGCCGCGGUAAUACGUAGGGCGCAAGCGUUAUCCGGAAUUAUUGGGCGUAAAGAGCUCGUAGGCGGUUUGUCGCGUCUGCUGUGAAAUCCCGAGGCUCAACCUCGGGCCUGCAGUGGGUACGGGCAGACUAGAGUGCGGUAGGGGAGAUUGGAAUUCCUGGUGUAGCGGUGGAAUGCGCAGAUAUCAGGAGGAACACCGAUGGCGAAGGCAGAUCUCUGGGCCGUAACUGACGCUGAGGAGCGAAAGGGUGGGGAGCAAACAGGCUUAGAUACCCUGGUAGUCCACCCCGUAAACGUUGGGAACUAGUUGUGGGGUCCAUUCCACGGAUUCCGUGACGCAGCUAACGCAUUAAGUUCCCCGCCUGGGGAGUACGG
rnacentral:rRNA from 1 species